rnacentral:rRNA from 1 species
AUGAGCUUAUCAGCUGUCAUUGGGGCCAUCGGUGGCAUCAAUGAGUGUGUCACUUUCGGGCAGUGGGCUAAAUCCACCAUUUCAUCCCUGCACUCCCGAUGGAGUGGCUCACAGGAGGAGGAUCUCCAGGAUCGUGCAUUGAAGUUGGAGACUGGCCUAAAACUUCUGAGGGACACUCUUCCUACAAUGCACGACCUCAUUAAUAAAGCAGAGUGGAGGAGCCAUGAUGAUGGUGUGGCAAGUCUCCUUCCCAAUCUCAAGGAUGCAGUGUAUGAUGCCGAGGACCUUCUUGAUGAGUUCACAUGGUACGAGAAGAAGGUGCAAGUGGAGGGCGAUGCAAGCCACUCUCCUUUCAUUGACUUCUUUAAUACCGUCAUUCAAGGCAGCUUCAACAAACUGGAUAGCAUCCAGUCGAGGUUGAGCCAUCUCUCGAGUCAGAUGGAGAGUAUAGGGCUUCAUGGAGUCGAACAACACUUUGACAAAUUAGUCAGGCCAGAGAGCAUCUCCUGUUUGCCGCGAAAGGGAAAAAAUAUAUUUAUUGGUCGUGACAAGGAGCUGAAGCGGGUCUUGGGAUUUCUCAAUGUACUUAAACGGAAGAGAGCAACUAGUUCAAUCAAUGCAUCAACAAGCACAUCAACAAGCAACCCUGCUAAUAAUGAAUCAAGUCUUCCUGUUUCGGUUAUAGGUGGAAUUGGUGGUGUUGGAAAGACUACAUUGGCCCAGCAUAUCUUCAGUCAUGAAAAAGUGCAAUCUCAGUUUGAGAAGAGAAUUUGGAUUUGUGUCUCAGAUGACUUUGAUGCGAAGAGGUUAACGAAAGAGGUCAUACAAUCCUUUACUGGAGUAGUGCCAACAACUGAGAGUAGUUUGGAAUCUCUUCAGAAUGCUCUGAAGAAGCAUGUGAACAAUAAAAGGUUAUUGAUUGUCCUUGAUGAUGUGUGGGAUGAUGCCUUGAAGGAAAAUGGGCAGCGUUGGGAGCAGUUUUAUGCACCUUUUUGCAGUGUCCAAGAGGGAAGUGCGAUGUUGGUCACCACUAGAUGUCCAAAUGUUGCCAAGGAUGUGUGCACAACUGGGACUGUUAUAUUAGAAAGUCUAGAGGAUGGCGCCUUCAGGAAAUUUUUCAAAUUAUGCAUGUUUGGAUCUGAGGAUUCUAGCAAUCAUCCUGACUUGGAGCGCAUUGGUGAAAGUAUACUUCCUAAAUUAAAGGGUUCUCCUUUGGCCGCCAUAACUCUGGGCCGCAUGUUGAAAGCAAUCCCUGAAGUAUCACGUUGGAAUUCUAUACUUGAGAGUGAACCGUGGGCGUGGAAACAAAAGGAGACCGACAUUUUACCUGCCCUUCGGUUGAGCUACAUAUAUUUACCAUUCUACUUGAAGCCAUGCUUCGCAUUCUGCGCUUUGUACCCCAAAGAUUACAAAUUUGAGAAGGCAAAGUUAGCUGAAAUUUGGGUGGCAGAAGGCUUCGUGGAGCCUCAAGGUGGUGUUCCCAUUCAAGAUGUUAGCUGUCAGUAUUUUGAAGAUCUUGUAGCACAGUCCUUCUUUCAGGAGGUUAAUGGUGGAUACGUAAUCCAUGACCUGCUCCAUGACAUGGCACAAAUGGUUUCAAAGCACGACUGCUUCAUCUUAAGAAACAAGAGUGACUUUGAUAAAGUUCCCCAGAAUGUUCGUCAUCUAUACGUACUCCCUAGCAGUGACUUUGAUGAAUCCAACUUGCCGAGCCUAUGCAAGUACACAAAGCUGCGUACCCUAAUUUGCAAGAAGAGUUUAGGAAGAAAUGCAUGUAUUGUAAUGGGUCGCUGGUGUACUGAACUUCUCCAUAUGCGUGUGAUGUCUUAUGCCUUCACAGAUAUGUUACCAGAUAAUAUUGGCAACUGGAAGAAUCUUCGGUACCUUGAAAUCUCUAGACCUUGUUAUUUGAAGAAGAUUCCUUCAACUUUCUGUUGGCUAUAUAAUAUGCAGAUUUUCUAUGCCAAGAAAUGCCAGAUGGAAAUGCCCGGUGACUUUGGUAAGUUGAUCAGUUUGCAGAAAUUCGAAUCAAACGGAUUAACUCUUGAUUCCGCCAAUAAAGGGGGAAAUGGAGUUAGGUCAAUAAAGAAUCUGAACCAAAUUCGUGGAUACUUGGUGAUAAAUAAUCUUGGCGCCCUAAGUAAGGAUCAGGCAGCGGAAGCUGAACUGAAAAAUAAGGAAUAUCUUGAUAGGUUGACACUGAAUAUGCAUAUGCCAAGGGUUUUAGGCUACCCUUUGUCUCACACCAUCCAGAACAGAGAAGUGCUUGAAGUUCUACAACCUCCUAUCAGCCUCAAGUUUCUGGUCCUAGAGAAUUAUGGCGGUUCCUCACUCCCAAGCUGGUUUCAGCCACAAAACUUGCCAAGUUUAGAAUCACUCACUUUUGUAAGAUGUGAUGGACUCAACAGCAUAAACUUAAAUGAGAUACUCGCAUUCCUAUCCCUCACAGACUUAACAAUUGAAUGGUGCAAAAAUAUAUCAAGCCUCGAAGAUCUUCUGCAUCAAGGUUAUGUACCAAGCAUCAAGAAAAUAGGAAUUAGAAAUUGCAAGAUCUUACCAUCAAUACCAACUGAAAAGUUCCGGGAUUUGCAAUUUCUUGAAGACCUGUGGAUAUCCGAAUGUCCAAACAUCCGCCUCCAGAGAUUGGUUUCGCAGUCCCUUAAGAAGCUCGGCCUGUGGGGUUCUGGUCUCUUUUGCAAUAUCGACUGCUGCUCCCUCACUGAAUUUACUGUAUCAUGCAAGUCUAUCACAUACAUCCAACUGCAAACGUGGAGUCUUCCAGCACUACAGAGCUUGGAAAUUAGCUGUGGAUCUCUUACGUCUAUUGGAGACUCCCCUAAUAGUUCCAUUUCCGCGGGCACUGGCAGCAUUAGAGCAUUCUCAUCCCUUAAAGUCAUAGCAAUUUCUCGCUGUGCUAAAUUGCCAACCCUUGAUGACCUGCUAACACAAGAGUAUCUACCUGCCAUUGAGAAAAUUGAAAUUAGCUAUUGUUUGAAGUUAAAGUCCCUGCCAGCUGAAAGGUUUGGGAGUUUUCCUUAUCUUAAACAUCUGAAGAUUUAUUCGUGCCCAAGUCUCGAGUGGCAAAGAGGUUUGGUGCUGCCAACAUACCUCCAAAGCCUCUGCUUAAUGGAAUGUGGGGAUAUCUCUCCAUAUGUUCCCGGAUGCCUACAGAACCUCACAUCCCUCGUCUCACUUGAAAUUGGUGGAUGCAAUGGUAUAACAUCCAUUCCAAGCAACAUCUGGUACAAUAAUCAUGUAUCACUCCAGAAAUUGGUGAUUGAGAAUUGUCCAGGCCUAGUUUCAAUCGGUGGAGCAGAAGCACUUGCAAAUAUCAAGGAGGUGAAGAUAUGCGGGUGUCCAAACUUAGCGAACGAGGAGCAGAUCAAUAGAAGAUCCGGCCCAAGUACAAGGAGGAUAUGGAGGACUAGGUGA